rnacentral:misc_RNA from 1 species
GAUGAAGAACGUAGCGAAAUGCGAUACUUGGUGUGAAUUGCAGAAUCCCGUGAACCAUCGAGUCUUUGAACGCAAGUUGCGCCCGAAGCCAUUAGGCCGAGGGCACGCCUGCCUGGGCGUCACACGUCGUUGCCCCCCCAUCUACUCCUUCGGGAUUGCGGGGGGCGGAUGAUGGCCUCCCGUGCGCCUCGUCGCGCGGUUGGCAUAAAUGCCAAGUCCUCGGCGACGCACGCCACGACAAUCGGUGGUUGCGAAACCUCGGUUGCCCGUCGUGUGCGGUCGUCGCGAAUCGAGGGCUCGAAAAAAUUGUCGGGCUCCGGCUCGGCUUUCAACGCGACCCCAGGUCAGGCGGGGUUACCCGCUGAAUUUAAGCAUAUCAAUAAGCGGAGGA